UCGCGACUUAUUUCCCCGAGGAGGCAUUUCUCGCACGCACCCAGCCCCAGCUGUGGAGGGAGGAGGCUGGUGUGUUAUUUUUGUGAUUUUUGAAGCGAAUUAUCCUGUUGCCGAGGGAGCCAUGCAUCUAGAAACGGCUGGGGAAGGAGACGGUGGCUGAGUGGUUAGCGUGCCGGUCCUGCGUUUGCCGUGUCAUGGAUGACGAGGGUUUGAAUCCACCGCUGCCACAGACUACCUGUCCUGAAGACCACCACCAUCAUCGUGGACUGUAUGGGACUGUCCAAGGGAAAGCAAGAUGGGGCUGCUAUAAACACUUGCCGGCUUGGGCCCACCACCAGGCCCAGCCAAGGGAGGUUGGUGUAGCAGUGCCGGGAGGUUCCAUAACACAGGGCACUCCUCACCUCAACAACAGUCUCUUCACCGACAAGUAAUUCUUCACCAACAAGCUUUUCAGCAGCUUGGAGAAAUAGAUGGAAGAGGAAGAGGAAGAAGAGGAGGAGGAGGGGGACACAGGAAUUUCUUGGUGAGUGUUAUUUUUAUUUCUUUGUUCUGUUUAUCAAUAUUUUCCCUUGUUUCCUCUUUUUCUUAUCUUCAUUUUCUUUACAAAGGAAGGAAGGAGAGAGAGAGAGAGAGAGAGAGAGAGAGAGAGAGAGAGAGAGAGAGAGAGAGAGAGAGAGAGAGAGAGAGAGAGAAGGAAAAAAGGAAGGAA